rnacentral:rRNA from 1 species
AGAGUUUGAUCAUGGCUCAGAUUGAACGUUGGCGGCAGGCUUAACACAUGCAAGUCGAACGGUAACAGGGAGGAGCUUGCUUCUUUGCUGACGAGUGGCGGACGGGUGAGUAAUGCUUGGGAAUCUGGCUUAUGGAGGGGGAUAACUACGGGAAACUGUAGCUAAUACCGCGUAAUAUCUUCGGAUUAAAGGGUGGGACUUUCGGGCCACCUGCCAUAAGAUGAGCCCAAGUGGGAUUAGGUAGUUGGUGGGGUAAAGGCCUACCAAGCCGACGAUCUCUAGCUGGUCUGAGAGGAUGACCAGCCACACUGGAACUGAGACACGGUCCAGACUCCUACGGGAGGCAGCAGUGGGGAAUAUUGCACAAUGGGGGGAACCCUGAUGCAGCCAUGCCGCGUGAAUGAAGAAGGCCUUCGGGUUGUAAAGUUCUUUCGGUGAUGAGGAAGGUGUUUGUUUUAAUAGAGCAAGCAAUUGACGUUAGUCACAGAAGAAGCACCGGCUAACUCCGUGCCAGCAGCCGCGGUAAUACGGAGGGUGCGAGCGUUAAUCGGAAUGACUGGGCGUAAAGGGCACGCAGGCGGUGACUUAAGUGAGAUGUGAAAGCCCCGAGCUUAACUUGGGAAUUGCAUUUCAUACUGGGUCGCUAGAGUACUUUAGGGAGGGGUAGAAUUCCACGUGUAGCGGUGAAAUGCGUAGAGAUGUGGAGGAAUACCGAAGGCGAAGGCAGCCCCUUGGGAAUGUACUGACGCUCAUGUGCGAAAGCGUGGGGAGCAAACAGGAUUAGAUACCCUGGUAGUCCACGCUGUAAACGCUGUCGAUUUGGGGAUUGGGCUUAGAGCUUGGUGCCCGUAGCUAACGUGAUAAA